rnacentral:lncRNA from 1 species
ACGGCCCAAAUUGAUUGAAAUCGAGAUCCAAUGGCUGCUGUUCAUUAUCGAUUGAAAAGAAGAAAAUCUGAGCAUGAUCCAAUGAUCGAAACUCGAUCUGAAGCUUGAUCCGAUGGCUGGUGUUCAUCCCGACUGAGAAUAAGAGAGAUUUUGUACCAUCCGAUGGCCAAAAUUCAAUCAAGCAUGCGAUCGAAUGGCUGUUGUCAUUUUUGACUG